rnacentral:rRNA from 1 species
AGAGUUUGAUUAUGGCUCAGAACGAACGUUGGCGGCAUGGAUUAGGCAUGCAAGUCGAGGGAAUCCCAGCAAUGGGGGAACCGGCGUAAGGGGCAGUAAGGCAUGGGUACCUACCCCGGGGUUCGGAAUAGCCACCAGAGAUGGUGGGUAAUACCGGAUGACCUCGUGAGAGCAAAGAUUUAUCGCCCUGGGAGGGGCCCAUGUGAUAUUAGCUAGUUGGUGGGGUAACGGCUCACCAAGGCAAAGAUGUCUAGCGGGUGUGAGAGCACGACCCGCGCCACUCGCACUGAGACACUGGCGAGACACCUACGGGUGGCUGCAGUCGAGGAUCUUCGGCAAUGGGCGAAAGCCUGACCGAGCGAUGCCGCGUGCGCGAUGAAGGCCUUCGGGUUGUAAAGCGCGAAAGAGGGGAGAAAACCCGAAAGGGUUGAUCUAUCCUCAGUAAGCUCGGGCUAAGUUCGUGCCAGCAGCCGCGGUAAGACGAACCGAGCGAACGUUGUUCGGAAUCACUGGGCUUAAAGGGCGCGUAGGCGGGCUGUCAAGUCUGGGGUGAAAUCCCGCGGCUCAACCGUGGAACUGCCUCAGAUACUGACGGUCUCGAGGGAGGUAGGGGCGAGCGGAACUGAUGGUGGAGCGGUGAAAUGCGUUGAUAUCAUCAGGAACUCCGGUGGCGAAGGCGGCUCGCUGGACCUUUUCUGACGCUGAGGCGCGAAAGCUAGGGGAGCAAACGGGAUUAGAUACCCCGGUAGUCCUAGCCCUAAACGUUGGGUACUAGAUAGUAGACUAGACAUGGGUUUACUGUCGAAGCAAAAGUGCUAAGUACCCCGCCUGGGGAGUAUGGUCGCAAGGCUGAAACUCAAAUGAAUUGACGGGG